CUAACUUUGUUGGAGAAGGUUGUACCAGAACACGCUGGGAUGAUGAUACCGCUCCGCAGAUGUCACGCCCCGCUCCAGAUCCUCCUCUUCUCUUUUGUUCUGUUUUUUGUUGCCAUUGUUUACUACAUCACUAUCGAUCAGCAACAGUUAACAGCUCUAAUGGUCUACGUCCCAGGAAUGAGAGGAAAUGUGGUGACAGAGCGAGU